CGUGUUUGAUUUCGAUUUGCCGUCAAAAUUGAAAAAAUAAAAUAAAAAUAAACCGCCGGGAGUUGUGAGAAGAAAAUUUGGCUCCUUUGUGUAAACGUAGGAAAGAAUCGUUUAUGUGGAGAUGUCCGCCCUGAUCCAGCACCAGAUUGCAAAACUAUUGACAGGAAAAAACCUUGAUGCACUCUCCAUCAAUGCGGGGGAGUGCGCCUGCUGCAAGGAACUCGUUUUCAAGUUAGCGAAGGAAGGUAUCCGGAAGCAGAAACAUAAGCUGGGAGUGCUAGCUGAAUCGCGACACCCCCUUCAAGCGAACAUAUCGGUAAGCUAGUUUCGUGAUCGGGACUCGGUGCACAAAAUCUUCGUGUUUCCGUUACUUUUUGUGCUGAAAUUGCAGCUGCAGUAACACCAGCGAAAAGCCGGAUGUAUGACAGAUCGGCGAAUUGGGAGCUAUCAGCAAUGUUUCGCCGCCCCGCGUUCAUCAAAUCAGUGUAUAGUAAAACAUGAAAAUUUAUGUGAAAAUAGUAAAACGAAUGUUACCAAUAACAAAACAAAUUCAAUCAUAA